CGAGUUUACCAAGUUACUAAUUAUGGUCUCAGCAUAAACGCCGAAGCCCUCUCUUCAAAUAAUUGCUUAAAUGUAAGAGCGUGAUGUGCUACCGCUUUUUGAAAAGGAAGUGUUUUGAGGAGAUUGGCCUUUCAGUGUUUUAGAAGCAAAGACUUUUUCUUUCUUUUUGGUGGGGGUGUGAGGCCCUCAGAGAGCAGCCUGGGAACAGCGGUGAUGGUCCAGACUCAGAACUCCGGAUGGUGUGGGUUUGAAUCCUCGCUCCCUCACUUGCUGUGUGCCCUUGGGUAAGUCAUGAAAAAAGCCAUUGAAAAUCACAGUCUUCAAGGGACUUAACCAGCAGGGACACCUUGGAGAAGAUCAGAUCCAUUUUACAACUCAUAUGGGACCUUUCAUGGGGCUAAUGGUUGUGGCCAAACUGGCACCAUAGCUUUGGAAACCGUGGAAUGAGAACAUGAAAAUGUGAGGUAAGCAGCAGGGACUCUUGUUUCCCUUUCUUUAUGAUUCUGUCAUCGGAAGUUUUCCACUACCUCCUGGGCUGCAGGGACUCCUCCUUGAAGAGAGGGAGGUGUGUGGAAUGGGAUUGGGGGCUCUACAGUUGGAGAUGUGUGUGGAUAGGUUGUAUUUGAUUGGUUGUGUAUCUCUGAAUUAUUGUGGGGAGGCUGUGUCUUUCUCAGGGCAGCAUCAGUCAGUAUGAAUCGUUUCCCUAUGAUGUAGUUUUAAUUAAUCCAAAUCACUGCAUUGAAAUUUUUUUUUUAACUUGAAGACAUAUCUUGGAAAAUACUUCUUAACUAAAUCCAUGAAGUCAGUUUGAUUUCAUGUUAUUUGCCCUUUAGCCUCAUAUUUCAUAGUGUAAAUUUAGCUGUCUGCCUUACUGAUGUCUUUUUGCAAAAUUAGUUACUGGAUCUAAGUCUGAAGGAACCUCAUCCUAAAUUGUUUUCUUGACUUUGACUAAUUCAUCAUCCGUGUCUUUGUUAUCUGAUCUUCUAGGAGGUAGUAUUCAAAAUAUUAUACUUGCUACUUUAAGGGAGACAGGGCCCUUUAGUCACUCUCAACCCACUUUUAAACUCUGUUUGGUUCAUUUCAGGCAGGAGGAAUAAUAUCACUCUCUUACGGGCUUUAAAGAUGCUGCAGAAAAAGAAUGCUUUCUCACCCUCCCUCCUUCCUCACCUUCCUUCCUCUCUUCUUUCCCUGUAUUUUUUUUUUUUUUCUUUCUGGCUGUCUUUGUUUCUUGGAAUGCCUUAACCAUAAAUGGGACUUCACCUCUGGAAGUUUGUACUUAGUCAUACUGUCAUAAAAAUUCAUUUCAAUGAAAGAAUCAUAACCUAUCUGAUAAAUUAACAAACUCAUGCCCACUUCCCUCUCUGGCUCUGUAGAGGUCCAGGUCAGCAUUGUUGGUACAGUAGGGUCCCAGAUUUCUAGGCUGCUAUCUCUGUCUUGCCACUGGGGGGUGGUCUGUGUUACCUGUGUUGAGUGGAGCCCACAGCCAGGAGGGCUCAGACUGAAGGUGGAGGCCUUUACCUACUUCAUCGAGCUUUCAAGUGGAGAGUGAGAAUGAUGAACAUUUUCUGGAAAAGCACAAGGUAUCUGAGUUCAUCAUAUAAACCCAUCUUCAUAUCAGGCCCAGCCCCUUUUCUGGGGAAAUGAUAACCAUACUCUAUUCUUAAGGCUCUUGUGAAUCUGCUUUCCACCUGUGACCGAGGUGAGUAAAGAGAACCUGGGUUAAUAGAACAGAAUAGAAAGCCCAGAAAUAGACCCCUACAAGUUCAGUCAACUGAUCUUUGACAAGGAGCAAGACUAAUUCAGUGGAAAAAGAAUAGCCUUUUCAACAGAUGAUCCUGGAACAAAUGGACAUCAACCCUCAACAAAAUGAAUCUAGAAACAGACCUUACACCUUUCAUGAAAAUUAACUCAAGAUGGAUCAUGGACCUAAAUGUAAAGUGUAAAACCAUAAAAUUCCUAGAAGUUACCAUAAAAGAAAAUCUAGGCAACCUUAAAUUGAUGGUGACUUUUUAGGUACAGAACUGGAAGCACAAGUCAUGAAAGAAAAAAUAAUAAAUUGGAGUAUAUUAAAAUUUUAAAAAUUCUGCUCUGUAAAAGACAUUGUUAAGAAAUGAAA